rnacentral:lncRNA from 1 species
CGUUCACUGACUUCCUUCAGGUCUCGUUGCUAUGGUGGAUGCAGAGAGAAAGACGGAAUUGGAUAUGGAAUGGCAGAAGCUAUGACAAACUGCAAGAGUGCCUGGCUGUCACUGUUUAAAAAAUUAUAAUGUUUCUCAAAGGUAAUUUUGUUAUAAAGUAAUUGUGCAGUUUGUUCAUUUAACUGUGCAGUUUGUUUAUUUGUUCAUUUAACAAAUAAGGGACUGUAGAGAUGGGGUCUUGCUAUGUUGCCUGGGCUGGUCUGGAACUCCUGGGCUCAAGUGAUCCUGCUGCCUCGGCCUCCCAAAGUGCUGGGAUUACAGGUGUGAGCUACUGCACCCGGCCAGCAGGGCUGUCCUUUUUCACUUGCCCCAAACUCAGUGGCUGAUGGACUGAUUUGCUCCUGGAAUCUAAGAUUCAUGCAGCCACAGAGGGACAACCCUCGUGACUUAGCUGAAGCGUGUAACAUUGAAAAUAAUUAUAGCCGGGUGCAGUGGUUCACACCUGUAAUCCCAGCGCUUUGGGAGGCCGAGGUGGGUGGAUCACGAGGUCAGGAGUUUGAGACCAGUCUGCCCAACAUGGUGAAA